rnacentral:rRNA from 1 species
CCUACGGGAGGCAGCAGUGGGGAAUAUUGGACAAUGGGCGCAAGCCUGACGCAGCAACGCCGCGUGAAGGAAGAAGGCUUUCGGGUUGUAAACUUCUUUUGACAGGGAAGAGUAGAAGCCGGUACUGGUCGAGUAAGCCACGGCUAACUCCGUGCCAGCAGCCGCGGUAAUACGUAGGUGGCAAGCGUAGUCCGGAUUUACUGGGUGUAAAGGGCGUGUAGCCGGGUUGACAAGUCAGAUGUGAAAUCCCGCGGCUUAACCGUAGAACUGCAUUUGAAACUGUUGAUCUAGAGUACUGGAGAGGCAGACGGAAUUCCUAGUGUAGCGGUGAAAUGCGUAGAUAUUAGGAGGAACACCAGUGGCGAAGGCGGUCUGCUGGACAGCAACUGACGGUGAGGCGCGAAAGCGUGGGGAGCAAACAGGAUUAGAUACCCUUGUAGUC